UUGACAUCCCGAUGCUAUUUCUAGAGAUAGAAAGUUACUUCGGUACAUCGGUGACAGGUGGUGCAUGGUUGUCGUCAGCUCGUGUCGUGAGAUGUUGGGUUAAGUCCCGCAACGAGCGCAACCCCUAUUGUUAGUUGCCAUCAUUCAGUUGGGCACUCUAGCGAGACUGCCGGUAAUAAACCGGAGGAAGGUGGGAUGACGUCAAAUCAUCAUGCCCCCUUAUGACCUGGGCUACACACGUGCUACAAUGGUUGGUACAACGAGUUGCGAGUCGGUGACGGCGAGCUAAUCUCUUAAAGCCAAUCUCAGUUCGGAUUGUAGGCUGCAACUCGCCUACAUGAGGUCGGAAUCGCUAGUAAUCGCGGAUCAGCACGCCGCGGUGAAUACGUUCCCGGGCCUU
rnacentral:rRNA from 1 species